CAUCGGGAGACUCCGCCUAUGGAUUAAUUAUUCGACUAAUCCGUCCUCCUCCUGGCGAGCCGAGCAGUCGCUGGCUCGCUGCAAGCCUUCAAAGGAGACUCGGCCUCGACCGCGCUUUAUAUAUUCUCAUUGCUGCACAACAACAGGGGUGACUGAAAUAAUCGUUGCUAAUCCUAGACUCUGGUGUAACUUUGCCUUUGCUUCAUAAGUUCUACCUUUAAUAUAAUGGACUUAAUUACUGCUUAUCAAAUAAAGCUUGCCAAGAACAGUUAUAGCAUGAUAGAAAGAAGUAUCCACAGGUUCCUCUUGAAAUCUCUCAUCGGAAAUUACGUUCUCUUGUAGGCUUUUGGCCCUGUGUUUUUAACCAUGAGUGCUAGGCAUAGUGAGA
rnacentral:lncRNA from 1 species